ensembl:lncRNA
CCCCAUGGACUGUAGCCUGCCAGGCUAUGUUUUUGGAAUUCUGCAGGCAAGAAUGCUGGAGUGGGUUGCCAUGCCCUGAACUAGGGGAUCUUCCCGACACAGGGGUCAAACCCGCAUCUCCUAUGGAUCCUGCAUUGCAGGUGGAUUCUUUACCACUGAGCCACCAGGGAGCAGUAGGAUACCGAUAAUUCUUUGGGGAUGGUGUGAGGGAGGUGGACCCAGCCCGAGGCUGUCACCUCACCUCUUUGGGCAGCUCCUAAGGCUCACUGGGUGAGCCCACGGGACACGAUUUGAAGACUAAUGAACCAGGGGAAUCCUAAAGGCCUGAGUGACAGUUUGACUCCUCCCGGCUAUCAGUGUGCAUAGACGUGCAGGAAAAUGGAAAAAUACCGUGACUGGAGGAGAGGGUUGCUGGUGGGAAGCAGAGAGAAUUGGAGCUGGGCCUGGCACACAGUAGGCACUAAGGAAAUGGCAUGUCAGUGUCCGUGGGAAUGUACUGUCGUAGGCUGCGAAUGGGCUGUCCACAUGGUCAGAGAGGCCUUGAAUUGUCACCAGCAGCUUAGCUUUGAAACAUGGAGCCACCCUAGAUUCUUCCACGGGAGACUGACAAAAUGAACAUGGUAUGCAGGGAAAAGGAGCCCGGUAAUGAACUGGAUUCCUCACUUAACUCCUAUUUUCCUUUAAUUAGAAUGUAGUCUGGAUAUUGCAUACUAGGGAACUAUAGUUAGUUUUCUAAGGUAAAAUAUAGUAUUGUAGUUAUUCUUAGGUAAUGUGUGGUGUGCUGCAGUUUUUUGUUUUUGUUUUUUAGGGGUGAAAGCAUGUGAGAGCUGCAACUUAUUUUCAAACAAUUCAGAUAUAGAAAUAUACCUAUAUCUCUACAUCUGAAUUGUUUGAAAAUAAGUAAUGUAUAUAGUAUAUAGAGUGUAUAUAGUAUAUACAUACACUAUAGUGUAUAUAGUAUAUAUAUGGGGCUUCCCAGGUGGCACUAGUGGUAAAAAAUCUGCCUGCCAAUGCAGGAGACCUAAGAAACCAUUUCAAUCCCUGGGUCAGAAAGAUCCCCCAGAGUGGAAAGUGGCAGAGGAGGAGGAC